rnacentral:rRNA from 1 species
GACGAACGCUGGCGGCGUGCUUAACACAUGCAAGUCGAACGGAAAGGCCCUGCUUUUGUGGGGUGCUCGAGUGGCGAACGGGUGAGUAACAUGAGAGUAACCUGCCCUUGACUUUGGGAUAACAUCAGGAAACUGGGGCUAAUACCGGAUAGGAGCUCCUGCUGCAUGGUGGGGGUUGGAAAGUUUCGGCGGUUGGGGAUGGACUCGCGGCUUAUCAGCUUGUUGGUGGGGUAGUGGCUGACCAAGGCUUUGACGGGUAGCCGGCCUGAGAGGGUGACCGACCACAUUGGGACUGAGAUACGACCCAGACUCCUACGGGAGGCAGCAGUGGGGAAUAUUGCGCAAUGGGCGGGAGCCGGAUGCAACAACGCCGCGUGCGGGAUGACGGCCUUCGGGUUGUAAACCGCUUUCGCCUGUGACGAAGCGUGAGUGACGGUAAUGGGUAAAGAAGCACCGGCUAACUACGUG